UCUUCCGAUCUGGAAGAGCCGACCAAGCAGUUAUGAAAGUUUAUGAACGAUUGCCGCUACAUCCACUUAUGUGAAAGAGUACGAGCGAAAAUGUUUACGUGAAACAA